AUUGAUUCUUCCCAUCCAUUAGCAUGGAAGGUUUUUCCAUUUAUUUGUGUCCUCUCUUACUUCUUUGAGCAGUGGUUUGUAGUUCUCCUUGAAGAGGUCCUUUGUAUCUCUUGUAAGUUGUAUUCCUAGGUAUUUUAUUUUCUUUGCAGCAAUUGUGAAUGGGAGUUCACUCAUGACUUGGCUCUCUGCUUGUCUAUUAUUGGUGUAUAGGAAUGCUUGUGAUUUUUGCACAUUGAUUUCAUAUCCUGAGACUUUGCUAAAGUUGUUUAUCAGCUUAAGGAGUUUUUGGGCUGAGAUGAUGGAGUUUUCUAAAUACACAAUCAUGUCAUCUGCAAACAGACAAUUUGACUUCCUCUCUUCUUAUUUGAAUAUGCUUUAUUUCUUUCUCGUGCCUGGUUGCUCUGGCCAGAACUUCCAAUACUACGUUGAAUAGGAGUGGUGAGAGAGGUCAUCAUUGUCUAGUGCUGGUUUUGAAAGGGAAUGCUUUAUUAUUUUUAUUGUGUCUAUUUGAUUCUUCUCUCUUUUCUUCUUUAUUAGUCUGGCCAGCGUUCUAUUUUGUUAAUCUUUUCAAAAAAACAGCUUCGAUUCAUUGAUUUUUUUAAAGGGUUUUUCAUGUCUCUGUCUCCUUCAGUUCUGGUCUGAUCUUAGUUAUUUCUUGUCUUCUGCUAGCUUUUGAAUUUGUUUGCUCUUGCUUUUCUAGUUCUUUUAAUUGUGACGGUAGAGUGGCAAUUUUAGGUCUUUCCCACUUUCUGAUUGGGCAUUUAGUGCUAUAAAUUUCCCUCUAAACACUGCUUUAGCUGUGUCCCAGAGAUUCUGGUACAUUGUCUCUUUGUUCUCGUUGGUUUCAAAGAAACCACUUUCAGGAACCUCAGUCAAUCCUAGGCUUGGUCUUUUCACAUAGUCCCAUAUUUCUUGGAGUCUUUGUUCAUUCCUUUUCAUUCUUUUUUCUCUAAUAAUUGUCUCCACGCCUUAUUUCAGUAAGUUGAUCUUCAAUCUCUGAUAUCCUUUCUUCCUCUUUAUCGAUUGGGCUCUUGAUACUUGUGUAUGCUUCAUGAAGUUUUCGUGCUGUGUUUUUCAUUUCCAUCAGGUCAUUUAUGUUCUUCUCUAAACUGGUUAUUCUAGUUAGCAGUUCCUGUAACCUUUUGUCAGAGUUCUUAGCUUCCUUGCAUUGGGUUAGAACAUGCUCGUUUAGCUCAGAGGAGUUUGUUAUUACCUACCUUCUGAAGCCUACUUCUGUCAAUUCAUCAAACUCAUUCUCCAUCCAGUUUUGUGUCUUUGCUGGAGAGGAGUUGCAAUCAUUUGGAGGAGAAGAAGCAUUCUGGUUUUUGGAAUUGUCAGCAUUUUUGUGCUGGUGUUUCCUCAUCUUCAUGGAUUUACUUUGGAUGGGGUUUUGUGUGAGGGUCUUUUUUGUUGAUGUUCAUGUUGCUGCUGUUUGUUUGUUUUUCUUCUAACAGGCCCCUCUUCUGCAGGUCUGCUGCAGUUUGCUGGAGGUCUACUCCAGACCCUGUUUGCCUGGGUAUCACCAGCAGAGGCUGCAGAACAGCGAAGAUUGCUGCCUGCUCUUUCCUCUGGAAGCUUCGUCCCAGAGGGGCACCGGCCUGAUGCCAGCCAGAGCUCUCCUGUAUGAGAGAUGCCCUGCUCAGUGAGGAGGAAUCUGGAGAGGCAGUCUGGCCACAGCUGCUUUGCUGCAUUAUGUUGAGUUCCUCCCAGUCCUUAGUACUGUCAGAAGAAAACAGCCUACUCAAGCCUCAGUAAUGGCAGAUGCCCCUCCCCCCACCAAGCUCUGUCAUCCCUCGUCGACUUCAGACUUGUGCUGGCAGCAAGAAUUUAAAGGCCAGUGGUUCUUAGCUUGCUGGCCUUCAUGGGAGUGGGACCUGCUGAGCGAGACCACUUGGUUCCCUGGCUUCAGCCCCCUUUCCAGGCCAGUGAACGGUUCUGUCUUGCCUGGGUUCCAGGCACCACCGGAGUAUGGAAAUAAAAAAAACAAAAAACAAAAAAA